GGUUUAAUUCGAUGAUACGCGAGGAACCUUACCCGGGCUUGAAUUGCAGAGGAAGGAUUUGGAGACAAUGACGCCCUUCGGGUCGUCUGUGAAGGUGCUGCAUGGUUGUCGUCAGCUCGUGCCGUGAGGUGUCGGCUUAAGUGCCAUAACGAGCGCAACCCCUCUCCUUAGUUGCCAUCAGGUCAAGCUGGGCACUCUGGGGACACUGCCACCGUAAGGUGUGAGGAAGGUGGGAGAGCG
rnacentral:rRNA from 1 species